CCUACGGGUGGCAGCAGUGAGGAAUAUUGGUCAAUGGACGAGAGUCUGAACCAGCCAAGCAGCGUGAAGGAUGACUGCCCUAUGGGUUGUAAACUUCUUUUAUAUGGGAAUAAAAUGUUCCACGUGUGGGAUUUUGUAUGUACCAUACGAAUAAGGAUCGGCUAACUCCGUGCCAGCAGCCGCGGUAAUACGGAGGAUCCGAGCGUUAUCCGGAUUUAUUGGGUUUAAAGGGAGCGUAGGUGGAUUGUUAGGUCAGUUGUGAAAGUUUGCGGCUCAACCGUAAAAUUGCAGUUGAAACUGGCAGUCUUGAGUACAGUAGAGGUGGGCGGAAUUCGUGGUGUAGCGGUGAAAUGCUUAGAUAUCACGAAGAACUCCGAUUGCGAAGGCAGUUCACUGGACUGCAACUGACGCUGAGGCUCGAAAGUGUGGGUAUCAAACAGGAUUAGAUACCCCUGUAGUC
rnacentral:rRNA from 1 species